rnacentral:rRNA from 1 species
GAUGAACGCUAGCGGCAGGCCUAAUACAUGCAAGUCGAACGGGAUUAAGAGGCUUGCUUCUUAUGAGAGUGGCGCACGGGUGCGUAACACGUAUGCAACCUACCUUCAACAGGGGGAUAGCCUUCCGAAAGGGAGAUUAAUACCGCAUAACAUAAUUGAACGGCAUCGUUUGAUUAUCAAACUCACAAGGGUUGAAGACGGGCAUGCGUCCGAUUAGUUAGUUGGUGGGGUAACGGCUCACCAAGGCAUCGAUCGGUAGGGGAUCUGAGAGGAUGACCCCCCACACUGGUACUGAGACACGGACCAGACUCCUACGGGAGGCAGCAGUAAGGAAUAUUGGUCAAUGGACGGAAGUCUGAACCAGCCAUGCCGCGUGCAGGAAGACGGUCCUCUGGAUUGUAAACUGCUUUUGUUAGGGAAGAAACCUUCGUAUGCGUACGAGGCUGACGGUACCUAAAGAAUAAGGAUCGGCUAACUCCGUGCCAGCCGCCGCGGUAAUAC